UUUCCGUAGGUGAACCUGCGGAAGGAUCAUUAUUGAAUAUGUUUGAUAGGUUGUAGCUGGCUCUUCGGAGUAUGUGCACGCUUAUCUUGACUUAAUUCAUCCACCUGUGCACCUUUUGUAGUCUUGGGGGUUGAGAUCGGUCGACUAUCGGAUGGCCAAGGUCAUUCCGGAUGUGAGGAAUGCUGAGUGCGAAAGCAUACAGCUCUUCUCAAAUGACUUGUCUUCCUCGAGUACUAUGUAUUCAUAUACCACAUAGUAUGUUGUAGAAUGUGAUCAAUGGGUCUAUGUACCUAUAAUAAUUAUAUACAACUUUCAGCAACGGAUCUCUUGGCUCUC
rnacentral:misc_RNA from 1 species